UUUAUAGUACUUAUAUAUGACUUAAUAUAUUUUUCAGCAUACACAAACGUGAUGAUGUAGCUAAGAAAUAAUGAGUUUAUGCUGUUUUUAUUCUGUGAUUCCUAAAAUGAGAAAUUGCAUUUGGGCAUAGUUUUCUUAACAACAGUAUAUACACAUUAGCAAUUUGGUUUGGAGUCUUAAACAUUGCAUAAUAUUAUAUUUAAUAUGAGGAAGCAGGAAUAAGUGAUCUGCAAUCAAAAAGCUUGCAUUAAAAUGGCUCCCACAGGUUUUGUUAAACAAGGAUCUGUUUCAAUUCUGCACCUCCUGACACAUUGUUGACAGUGAAGUGUAUUUGUAUAAGCUGCCCUUGUGCAUGUAAUGAAACGUAGCAUUGUGAGUCUAAGUUCGCUAUUUUUAAUCAGUCAAAUAUAAUUCUUUUAUAGUUCACAAAAAAUAAAUGUCUGCAUUGCAGCAAGAUGUCUGAGGCAAGGUAGAGACAGCAGUGUUGUUUUACAGAUCAGCCCAAUCACGCUGCUCCAUGGAGUACUUGAGCCAAUAGAAACAGAGUGUAGGUUAAAGAUUGACAAUUGCAGUGGCAAGACUGAGAAAGGCCUUCUGGAAAUUUCUACCAUCUUUGUUCCAUCUAAGUAAAGCAAAUUCAGCUAAGCUGAAGAAUUUCAUGUGUUUUUGGUGCUUUGUCAAGUAGGAUACUUGUCCCUAGGAGUUUGCUGUCAUUGAAUUAUUGCACUUGAAAUCCUUUCUGAGGAAAAGCUGCUGGUGAGAUUACUGAGAUUGGAAGGUUAUGAUGCUUAAAGCACGUUCAGCAUAUUACUUGUUGCGGUGGAAGACACAAAGCUUGAAAGAGCCAUACAUUCUGGAAAAAGUUACCCUAAACUAGCUGCAAAUUUUCACGUACACCCCAGCCAGCAGAGUGGUUGCCAUUAUGAGCUAUAGUGUCCUGCAACAAGCCAAAUAAUGCAAGACAUCUCUGAAGUCACUUCAUUCCUGUGAACCUUUAAAUGUCUUUCAUAGUUAUAUUAAUUAAUACAUUUAUACUUCAUUUCUGUUUUCCUCAUACUUUGAAUUUUGUUCAGCAGCAAGUCAGUGUUUUCCUCAUUGCUCAGGAUCUUGUGAGUUUUUAUUUAAAUUUUAGUAUUUUGGGUGCUUCUUAUUGAGAGGGAUGAAUUGUUAGUAUCCAUUAAGGAAAAAAAUACAUCCCAUUCUCGAGGGUUUGACCAUACAUAAUUUCAUUUCUGCCACCAGUCCAUGAAUGAUGCAGCAGAUAUUUGUUAAAGUUUGUUUUCAUUUACAGUAAACUAGAAGUAUAAAUGUAUCUAAUAAAAAUGCAAAACGA